GUGGGAUUGGACCCAGAGGGACGUAUCUGUGGCAAGUAGGGAGAAGGUAUUUUGGCCUCCCAAUCCUUAGCCUUCCACUGUCAAAGGUUAACAAGCAAUCUAGUUAUUUCACACGGGAGGGUGGAUCCAGAAUGGGCAUCGUGUCUCCUGUCACAGGUGAGCUUCUCCAGCUCCAUCUUAAAAUUAGCCAGGUUUGUCACUGUGACUCCAGUGACAAAGUUACUCCCUCCUCUGGCCUUUGUCCGAUUUUUGUUCAGGUUUUGCAGGUCAGAGACCUGAGGAUGACGGCUUCCAAGGCGUUUCAGAGAGAGAACCCCAAUUGCUGCUUCUGGGCUCAGCAGGAAAGAAGCCUGCCUUCUGCAGAGGCACGAGUGAAGGAGCCCGGAAUCUAGGAGGGCUUGUGUUGUGUGGGGAAGAUUGAGAACUACUGUCAGAGGACACUGCAUUUCAUCAAAGGGAUCUACAAAUACAAUACAGCUUGUGUCGAUGGAGCUGCAUGCAUCAGGAGAGGAGUAGGUUUGAUUUCAGCAAUUACAGCCUGAAAACUGAAGGAAGAAUAUUCCUAGUAGAAAGCAGCAUGUGUAACAGCAAUAACAGUGUGAAUCAGUCAUUUCCCUUCUCACUCCUCCAACUCCAUCUGCUGAUCACUCAUACGAGAGCUCUAACAGCGGAGCUGCUUCUGAGGAUUGUUGAAGAUGUGGAACAGUGAAAGCCUUCUUGUCAAGCCUCCAAGAGCGAAGAGCAGCAGCGAUGAGAUUAUGAAUACAUUAGUAAUAAUACUGUAUUGAUCUCAAAACACUUUACAAACAUUAACUAAUUAAGCUUCCAAACAGUGAAGUAAGUUUGCAUUAAUAAAGCUCAUUUAUCACAUGAAGAAGUGGAGGUAAGCAAAGGGUAAGUGAAGCAGCCAGAGUCAAGUGGCGAGUGAAGGACAGAGAAAGGUGUCCUGAUUUCUGGUGGUUCUGCCUUUCAUGUGAUCUCAUUGAGAAAAUUUUUGCAGUGAAGCUUACAGCCAUUUCAAAUUGAGUCGUUUGGGACGUUUUAUUGCAAGACUGAGCAUUUCUUACAAGAGCCAGGAUGAUAUAAAAGCUCACAGAAGUCAUAAACGUUUUUAGGCUCUCAGGUCCAGCUUUGACGGACAAGGGGCCAUUUCUGAAAGCGGCGGGGAGCAGCAGUGGCUGCGGAGUUUUCUGUGUGUUACCGAACUGUAGCAAUGUGUUCCUUGGGAGGCACCGUUUGCACACACAUGUCUGCAAGUCUGAGUGAGUCACAGCUGCAGAGUUUCUUUAAGGCAUGCAUGCUUGGCUUUGACAUGCUGAGAUUUAUGCAGGAUCAACACAUUUCAGUUUGAAUAUCUUUGAAUCCAGCCAAAACUCCAGUGACAGGAGGCAACAAGUUCAUCCUAGAGGAGCAUUUACAGAAAAAUACACUGUCCUGCUUGAUAACCAGAAAAAACCACUUUUAUCAGCCUAUUGCAUUUGGGACCAUGAGCAUGUUCAAGGUGCUGGAGACAGAACGACAGGCUGAAUGAAGGCAAACUGGAAGUGAGCCCAGCCACGGAUCUUACACAUGGGACUUUUCUUGACCACUGAAAAUGAUGUGGAAUCUUGUGAGAAUGCUCAAAUAUUAGGGGAAAAAAGGCAUUUAGAGAAGAAAAGUGAAAGUGGAGCAGAAGUCCCUAAAGCGUUACAGGCUUGCAGAGCUCCUAAAGCACCGACGGGGGGGGAGCCUGAGAGAGGGGGAUAGAAACAGCUCUGGUGUAAAGGUGCAGGCUGCAGCAUUUACUGAUGGAGUCCAGGCAUUUGUAGAACAGGGAAACUAUGAGGUGGAAAGUUACUACUGGCUGUGCUCUUUGAAAUGGAGCCAUUCAAGGCAGUCCAACAGCACAGCGUGGUGUGCGACAGGCAGCAAAGCAAUUUGCAAUCCGUGCUCGGCCAGAGAGAAAGGAGCAAGUGCCACAGGAGGUUGUGCCCAUCCCCAGCCACGCUAGGAAGUGAAUGAAGAACUGCAUGGAUUUUGUUUUAAAUGGAACUGAGCAGUAAUCCCCAGAGAUUUAAGAGUUGAGAUCAUGCAGUGGAUACAUAUUUCACACCUGGGGAUAGAGACAUGCCUGAGAUGAGCCAGGAAAUGUAUCUACAGGCCAGGCAUGAAUACCCGGUUGAAAGCAUACAUGGAACAGUGCAAGCUGUGCAAAGAAUCUAGUGAUUGACAAGAAAUGCUUCAUGAAAUCCCAGCCCAGCCCUGGGAAAAGGUCAGAACAGACUUGUUAAUUUCUAAUGAAAGAAACUUUAUGGCCACAGCGGAUUACUAACCCAGUUCUUGGAAGGUGUACAGAGAAGAACAAUGAUCAGAAAACUGAAAGCAUAGACUUUGAGAUGUGCUACACCUCACUCGCUGGGAUGAAGUGAGAGGCUCCUGAUCCCUUCAUUUAAGCAUUUGAACAUUUUGGUGCCUUUAAACAUUUCUGCGUAAGAUUUAUGUCCCUGAAAAUACACAACAGAAUAGGAAGAUGGCAUCAGCCUCGAUGGCAGCCAACAAACCAAUGGCAGCAUUAGUUAGAUAAUAAGGGUGUUUGGCCUGGUUAUUUUGAACCUCAUGAAUGCUAAGUGCUCCUAUGGUUUAAACAGAGACAUGUGCUCAGACACUGGCCUUGCAGUUUAGGUGAGCAUGUCUGCGAAAGCAAAAACAGUCGAUAUUUUUUCUAUACGGUCCUUGGGAAGGUAAGCAAGUGCAAAGGACUCAACGCUCAGAGUUACUAUACGUAGGAAGGUAUGUAUGAAAUCAGUCAUGAAGUUAUUAUGAAAAGUAACAGCAAAAAAAAAAGUUGUUACUGGGUGCAGGAUGUGAAAUGAGUAGAGCAAGCAGGAAAAAUGAAACUCGAGGCACCGUGCUGUGACUGGAAUCAAAGAUAGCACCAGGGGAUCGUAGUCUGUUAGGCUAAUGUAAGCAAGACAAAAGGGCCGUGAAGUGUGUGAUCAACACCGGCUCAGUGGCACUGAGCCUUUCAGGUGCCCUCAAUAAUAACAGAAAACAGGGAAGCUGAACAGGACGGGGAGAGCUUGGUGGCUUCGUCGCUGGCAUCCGCGUUUUAGCUAUUACGGAGUAGGCUGCCUGGCAUCCGAUCGCCCCCCUGGUGGAGCGUCAGUCUGCUUUAGGUCCUGCGUCAUAUCUGCUAUUCCCGUGCAGAUGUCCUGGAUGCCUGAGGGCCUCUCAAAUGGCACCGGGCACCUGUGCGCUGGACGGAGGAAUCCUGGCCUUCGCUUUACGAAGCGGUGUGCUCUAGAAGGGCCGCGACAGCGUGGUAAUAGCUGCAGCCAAGUGUGGCAGCGAUGAGCAAGUUGGAGAGAUCUUUAAACAGAAAGAUUGAAGUGUUUUGGUUUGGUUUGGUUGGAAGACUGAACUAGCUUGCCAGAGGGAAUUCGGAGGAAACCAGAACGUUUUCCCAACGAGAAGGAGGGUCACUAUCCCUGGGCUCCCUCCGCUGCAGCACAGAGAGAAUCCUGGCACCUCUGUGCCUUUCCUGCUUUGGGAACGCUGGCAGGAUGAUGGGGUGUCCCGAGAGACCCUCGCGAGAACGGAAGAGCGGAGGAGCAGAGGAAUGAGAGGCUGGGGGAUUCUCUUUAACCUUUCCAACUGUGCAGUCCUGUGACCACCGGGUUAAAGUCCCGAACUCUGAAGGACGUGCCUUCCUCAGCGAAGCCACCAUUGAUGUUAGCUGCUGAACAAAGGCUUUUGAACUGCGCCACAGAGUAAACUCCAAAAGGCCUCCGGUGAAUGGAUGAAUUUGUUGUGAAAGCUGCUGGAUGAACAACUCAUGUUUAUCUUCAAGUACUGGAGGAACAGCAGGGGAUUCCCCUGCCUUGCUUCACCUCUUAGGCUGGUCCCUCGCGUGUGUCUCGCAUGUAAGGAGCACUGUUUGAUUGCUGCUCUACUGUGCUGUUGAGACUCUCUCUAAGAUCACCUACAUAGCUGGAGCUCUUGGGGACCAAGAAAACUCUGGUAUUUUGGAAGACAGCACUGCUUGUGAGAACUUACACAAAUUGGAUUGCAGAAUUCCAGAAUCAAGUCUACUGAGAGCAUGCAGCAGAGAGCUUAACUACGCAGCUGCAGAACAGUGAAAGAGAGUGUCUUUGAAGGAAAAAUGGUGCUGCCGAUGGUGCUGCUAGGAUGCUGAAGUGCCCAGUGAUUUUUGUGUUAUCUUGAUGUGCUGCAUCUGUACGGCUGAAAAUUAGAUGCAGAGUGAAAACUACUACUGAGGAAAGGCUCAAGACCCAGUACCAACCAGAAGACAGCAUCUGUCACCACUGAAAAAAAGGAGGUGUAGUCACUCUGGGGCUGUGUGCCCCAUCUCCACUAUAAGUGGUAACCUGUAUGAAGGAAUAAUGAGGGAAUGGAGUGUGCUGUUGUAGCAUAUUGUUUAUUUACUGUUGCUUUCUUCUAACAUUAUAAAAUAGUUUGAACAUUAUGAAAGUUUUCUGAUAUAACUUCAUGACCCUUCCUUUUUCCCCAAGCACUUACACCUUAACAUAUUUUACAAUUUAUUAACAAAUAAAAAAGUAUUGAAAUACCAAAUACUGUAAUGAAAACCAUUACAAAAAUCCCUUCUGCCAGUAGUAAAUAACAAAAUUGAAAAGGUAUGUGUUAAAGGAGCAUUAAUGUCAGGCAAUGCAGUCUUAUUGGUAGCGAUAGCAGAGAGCUGAGUGGUUGCACAGGAAUUAGUGAGAACCAUGGAUAGCUGUUCACUGCACAAGUUCAAGGACUUGUUCCUCAUGUGUCAGUCACUGCACAGCUGUAAGUGUGAAAUGUAUGUUAAAGCAGGGUUCAGUAAUCUAAGUUAGUGGGACAGUAGUCUAAUCCUCCAACUGCUGUCAGUUCUGCUCCUUCGUCCCUGGCUCAGCAUCAGAGAACGAAGGGGCCACAGUUUCAUCCCUGCUUUCUCACUUCCCUCUCCCUCUUUUACACUUUUCAGUUCCUUGCUGAAUGAGAGGCGCUGGUUCAAUCUGCAUUUCAAGUCUUUAUGCAUUUCUUGCCAUAGGUCAUCCAAGAAAAAUCUCCCUGUUGGUUCCCCAUCUGCUCUCCAGUAACGUGGGUGUUUGACUCAGACCUAUCUAAGGUAGAAAGUCCUACCAAAGCAAGAAAAGAACAAGUGUCUUUUAUCAUUGGAAAGACAGAAAAAAAAGCCUUUCCUUCUAUACUAAGCAGCUUGCAAGUCUAAAAGUUGAUAAUUUUACACAAUUAAUAUGUCUUUAUUUCAUCUCUGAUCAUUCACCUGUUCAAAAGCUUUUUCAGGCCAGUUUACUAACUCACAGACAGAACAGUAAUUAUUGUAGAUUUAAAUCACCUAAAACCAAAAAACUGUCAGGCCUGACCGUUGCACAAGGGGAUCAGGCUAAAAGGCUGACACAUUGCUACUUUUUCAGAUUAGUGAAGCCUUGGAUGCAGGAUUCCCUCCAUCAUUCCUAAAAUGAUGCUAAUCCCUAGACCUAAGGUUUUGCAAUUCUAUAGCUGGACAGCACCUAUACUAAAAGGAUUUUCUAUUGCUGCUGUCUGCUUAGCAGAUUAGUUAUAGGAGGGGACUCUAUAGAACAGGCCAUGCUUGACCUGCACAGAAUCUCCAGCUGUCUUGCAUUUUUUCUGUUUAGAAAAUUCUCAAGCAUUAACAAUUAGCAGUGGAGAAACAUUAAAAUUAUGUCUAUAUUUUAGUAACCAUGUCUCCAUUUUUCCCUUCUGAAAAGGGAAGGACCGGUGGCCCAAGACAGUUGUGACUAAGGAAUUUCUUAAUUUAAUCUUUAAUUUAAUCCGCUGUGACACAACAUAGACUUUGCCAUAAAGCUAGCACUAGUAAAACUAUAUUUAGCAGUAUAGCAGUAAGACAAAGUUAUACAGUGCAAGUGCAUGAAGUAUGUACUCAUGUCUCCUAUAAUUCCAGCUUUGAUUUUUUUCCUUUUUUUUAGUUAUCUAUUCAAGUAUAGCUAGAAAUAAUUAGCUGAUUUUAAAACCAUUUACCUCACUUUGAAGCCAUCUGGGCCCACUUUAACUUGGUGGGCUAGAGGUUAUAAUAGAAGAAGAGUGGUGCCAAGGAAGUAGCAUGCCUUCUCCCCUCAGUGAAGUUAAGGCAUUUCAUAGUGUGAUACACUAUAAAAAAUGACUCUGUGAGUCACAAUCUGGAAAAUGCUCCAAUGUAUAGUGCAGUUGGUCUGGAACAAUAGUAAAGAUGACAACUUCUCACCAACUAAAGCUCUUUGUGGCUUCGCCUCUACCUCUUGCCUGAACAGACCCUUGGUACUGGGUCCCAGACCUUCCCAUUUACUCAAUAUUCUGAGUCCUAUGACUUCCUCUUUUUCCCGUUUUGCCCUCUGCAACCUAUUAUUCCCUAUGCUGCCUCAGACCAUUCCUUUUAUGUCCUAAGACUCACACUAUGCUGUUAAAGACUUUGCUUGUGAGACUGCAAUCUCCAUGCUGAUUGAGGGGUGGGGAAGGAGAAGGUAGGGCUCUCUUAGUCCUUUCAACAGAGGAAGGAAACAGAUAAUUUUUAGAACUGCUUUGGUCUCUUUAUUGUGCAGGAUUUGAUGCUGAAAAUCUUAGUUCUCUCAAGACAAAGGCUAAUCAUUUAUUCUAUCACCUCUUUUGCUUUUUCUUGCACAAGCUUUCAUACAGAGCACAAUUGCAGAUGUCCCUCCCGAAAUGACACUUUCUGCUCUAUUCACACCAGAAGGCAAUCCGAACUCGCAUGUGAUUCUCCAUCCUCCUAGCAACUCAUAGAGACAUCUGACCAGAGACUGCUGAGGUACAGACAGCUGGAAGAUGCAGUAUCUUAUACAGAGGAGGAAUGUGGGCAUAAGUAAACAGAAGGGCCAGAAAUAUACAGAAUUGCAGAAAAAUCCUCACCCUAGGGAACUGUGGAACUGACGCUGGAAGACUGUCAAGUCAGUGUGUCCCCAGAAUGAGAGGACAUGGGUUCAAGCCACACACAAAUCCAGAUUUCAGAGGCUUGAGCUCAGGUAAGACUCUGGAUUCCACGAAAUUUAUAAGGAAAGUACAGGAAAUCUACAGUGAUUUCAUGUGUUUAAAAUCUGUUCUCAAUCAAACUAAGACAAAUUAGCUUCAACAGAAAAAAAAAAAAUCCUUGAAAGGAUUCCCAGAAUUUUGAAUGAAGAUAUUUUUUAAAAUUCAAGUUUAAGAUAUUACUGUACUUGAAAAUUAUUUCAGGCUGAGGCAGGGUGUGAGUUUAAUGGUAACAGCCAUACAAAAAUAUUCUACGUAUAGAAGCCUAUCACAUAACAUGAUUACCUUAUUCUACUUUGUAUUCUAGAACAAGCAUGUCUGCACGAGAAGUUAUUCAGUAAGAACGCUGCUUUUAUUCUUGAAUAAUUCCAUGUGCAGUCAAGCCUUUAGUCAAAUCAGCACAACUCUGUAUGUAGAUAAAUCGUCAGUCUAUCCCUGCUUGCAUUUACAGGAAAUCUGUAUCUCUGUUACUAAAUGCAGCUGACAGAUCCAAAAACAUCACAUUUGUCUGCAGAAUAAGCAUAGAUCUUACAAGCCCCCACCCUUAUUAACCUACUAUUUCCUGUGUCCUUUGGAGGUUUUAUGAACUGCAUAUCCUUCAUAUUCUGUGUUCAAUGUCAUUAGCAAACUGGUAAGUAUUAUGGAGAGAAGAAAAACUUUUUUUCCUCCUUUCUUUGCUGAAUAGCCAAAAGGGAGAGUUUUUGAGUGUGACAAUGCUCCACUAUCCUUAUAUAAAAGUCCAGAAGAAAGCAAAGUUGCUUUCCUUUGCGGAGGGGGAAUAUCUUUAUUCUAGUUCACUAAAAAAACACUGUUAGACCCUUUAACCAUAAAGGCUUUCCUUUCUUCACAUGGUCUAAGUAUUUGUGUUUGUCACCUGUGUUUGCCUAGUUCUGUCAAGAGUGCUGUCUUAAAGCCUUAAUUAAACAUUGAUGUCCAAACCCCAGAACUUCCACAAUUACAUUUCUAUUAUUUAUCUCUGUUACUGAUUUUAGCUGUGGUUACUUUUUAGAAAAGUAAAAUAGCAAGCUAUACAUUUCAAGGAAAACACAAGAUUAAUUAAUGUAUACAACUGGGACCUGCUGCUCAUGAUUUAAAAUAUCAGUAAAAAUUCAUAAUAUGGUUAUUUAUUUAAUUUAUAUUUAAUAAUUUAUUAAUUACAUUUAACUAUUAUUCGUUAAAAUUGUUAAUGUUCUCCUUUGUGUAGUUUUUGUACCUUCAUUUUAAUAGUCUGUUCUAAUACAGGGUUCAACAAUUCAAGUACACACUGGGUGGCCUUGUUAGCAUCUUUCUCUAAAUACACAAGUAUAUCUUUUAAUUCAGUUGUACCUAAAAGUUGCCACCACCAAAUGGCUACUUUCUAGUCCAUAAGAAAUUAUGUGGGGCUGGCUGUUCAGGUAUAUUUAACAUGAACUUGCCUCAGCGGUAUUCUCAGCAGAGACCAGCUCCUCAAGAGCCCAUGAAGAUCGAUCUGCUUUUUUUCCUACUGCAAUUACACCUCCAGCCCCGGUGCUUCCCCCCGCAGACUGGAAGGAAGAGGUCAGUACUGUUAUCACAUUUACAGUUUACAUGCUGUGGGCAGGAGUCCGCAUCCCUGUUUAAUGUCACAGCAGACCAUAGAUAUCAGGCAUUACACAAACAUUCAGCGAUAACGUUUUUCAGAAGCGUGCGAGCCCCAGACCAAUUGGUUUUCUUGCCAGGGGAGGUCAUUCUAGCUUUCCAAAAUAGGAUCAGUGAACAAGAUAAUUCUUCCAUUUCAGUUAUGUUUUUGUUCUUUAAAUGUGUAUCAUCAGCCUUACCAAUUACUGGCUAUUCUGACCUAUGUAUGGCACAGUAAAAUAAAGAUGUA